rnacentral:rRNA from 1 species
GUGUCAGCCGCCGCGGUAAGACAGAGGCCUCAAGCGUUAGGCGGAAUCACUGGGCUUAAAGCGUGUGUAGGUGGACUUUUAAGUGCCUUGUGAAAUCCCACGGCUCAACCGUGGAACUGCUGGGCAUACUGGGAGUCUUGAGCCACUUAGGGGCAACUGGAACAGACGGUGGAGCGGUGAAAUGCGUAGAUAUCGUCUGGAACGCCAAUGGUGAAGACAGGUUGCUGGGAGUGUGCUGACACUGAGACACGAAAGCCAGGGGAGCAAACGGGAUUAGAAACCCGUGUAGUCC